CGACGGACAUGAAGUUUUCGGAUGGAUUGAAAGAUGUAAUGUUCUAGCGGCGGACGGGUGAGUAACGCGUGAGCAACCUGUCCCUUACAGGGGGAUAACACAGCGAAAGUUGUACUAAUACCGCAUGAGACCACAGAGUGACAUCGCUUAGGGGUCAAAGGAGUAAUCCGGUAAGGGGUGGGCUCGCGUCCGAUUAGAUAGUUGGUGAGGUAACGGCCCACCAAGUCGACGAUCGGUAGCCGACCUGAGAGGGUGAUCGGCCACAUUGGGACUGAGACACGGCCCAAACUCCUACGGGAGGCAGCAGUGGGGAAUAUUGGGCAAUGGGGGAAACCCUGACCCAGCAACGCCGCGUGAGGGAAGAAGGUUUUCGGAUCGUAAACCUCUGUCCUUGGUGAAGAGAAAGAGACGGUAGCCAAGGAGGAAGCCCCGGCUAACUACGUGCCAGCAGCCGCGGUAAUACGUAGGGGGCGAGCGUUGUCCGGAAUGAUUGGGCGUAAAGGGCGUGUAGGCGGCCCGGUAAGUCUGAAGUGAAAGUCCUGCUUUUAAGGUGGGAAUUGCUUUGGAUACUGUCGGGCUUGAGUGCAGGAGAGGUAAGUGGAAUUCCCAGUGUAGCGGUGAAAUGCGUAGAGAUUGGGAGGAACACCAGUGGCGAAGGCGACUUACUGGACUGUAACUGACGCUGAGGCGCGAAAGUGUGGGGAGCAAACAGGAUUAGAUACCCUGGUAGUCCACACUGUAAACGAUGA
rnacentral:rRNA from 1 species